rnacentral:rRNA from 1 species
UAGGGGAAUCUUCGGCAAUGGACGAAAGUCUGACCGAGCAACGCCGCGUGAGUGAAGAAGGUUUUCGAAUCGUAAAACUCUGUUGGUAGAGAAGAACGUUGGUGAGAGUGGAAAGCUCAUCAAGUGACGGUAACUACCCAGAAAGGGACGGCUAACUACGUGCCAC